rnacentral:lncRNA from 1 species
AUACCUUCCACCACAUGGAUCACUCUUGUUCUCAACAGUUCUCAAUGCUCUCAUAAAGGGAUAAUUAUCCAGCUCUCGAUCAUGGCUUUCUUUUUUCAUUUCCAGAUCAGGGGUUUCCUUUUCUUUACUCGAUUGAGCAUGAGAGGUUUCCUUUUCUUCACUCGAUUGAGCAAGAGAGGUUUCCUUAUUCAAUUCAGGAUAAGGGGAUUUUGCCAAAUUGGUAACUUCUGGCGGGGAAGUAAUCACACUGGUAAUGUGCGACUGAGUGGCAACAGGAAUGGUGGUCAGUUGUACAGAUUCAUCAACAUUACUAUUGCCAAGCACAAC